rnacentral:lncRNA from 1 species
AGCCUGCGCCCGUUUGGGUCCCAUCGCCCCGGCCCGGCAGAUACCUGAGCGGUGGCCAGGGCAGGUCCCCGUUCUUGCCGAUGCCCAUGUUCUGGGACACAGCGACGAUGCAGUUUAGCGAACCAACCAUGACAGCAGCGGGAGGACCUCCGAGCCCGCUCGUUACAGCAGAACGCGCGGUCAAGUUUGGCGCGAAAUUGUGGCCGCCCCGCCCCCCUCGUCCCCAUUUGUGCAGGCGAGGCCCCGCCCCCCCGCCCCGGCGCACGCAGGGUCGCGGCGUGCUCGCGCCCGCAGACGCCUGGGAACUGCGGCCGCGGGCUCGCGCUCCUCGCCAGGCCCUGCCGCCGGGCUGCCAUCCUUGCCCUGCCAUGUCUCGCCGGAAGCCUGCGUCGGGCGGCCUCGCUGCCUCCAGCUCAGCCCCUGCGAGGCAAGCGGUUUUGAGCCGAUUCUUCCAGUCUACGGGAAGCCUGAAAUCCACCUCCUCCUCCACAGGUGCAGCCGACCAGGUGGACCCUGGCGCUGCAGCGGCUGCAGCGGCCGCAGCGGCCGCAGCGCCCCCAGCGCCCCCAGCUCCCGCCUUCCCGCCC